AUACAUUUCCCAAGAAGCUACUCUUCCUGGUCUGACUAAGGGCUUCUGUGGAGAAAAUAUGCAAUGUUUCCAUAAGGCUGUUUAAAAAAAAAAGAAGAAGAAGAAGGAAUCACUUUUCUCUUGAGGCAAAACACCUUGAACCUCUUGGGGGGACUUAGAAGAAUCAAACCAUUACAUUCUAUCUUGGAAAAUAUGUCAAAGAAAUGCCUGCGUGCUUGCCUUAGUUCAUUAGAGACUCUUUCCCCCUUCUUCAGAUCAUAAUAAAAAUGAAUGAGAAUAUAGGGGUUCAAAGGCAGAGAAGGACUCUAACCCUAACAGAUCAGAAGUCUAUGCCUACUUUGGAGAUCUGACGUUGGAAUACAAGAACCUAAGCUUGAGACUCUCCAAUCAAAAAUUCUCGCAAUCACUUAGAGUUCAUGUCAAAACAUCUGGUGGCAAGUGUGCUUCAGUGUAUGAUAACCGGGGAAAAUACUGAGAAAUUGCAGCAACAUUUUUGUGUGUGUAAAUGGAGCUUUAGUUCCUGUACUUCAGCCAGAAAACACUAGAGGGAGUCAAAUAGAGGAAAAGACCAUCUCCGAAUGCCCAGGACCGAAGAAGAGCCUGCAGAGGAAGGCCUUUCUGCAUUUCCCCAAGGCACCCGGUUUUACCUAGGUAGACACUAAUCUUUAUACUGUGACCAAGUGACUCUCUCUACUUGAAACCCAGUGCUAAAAAACUGUAACUAUGAGCUGCUGAUUCUGUUCUGAAUCCAAAACAGUAAAAAGAAAACCAUUACUCUCUGACCAGGAUCUGGAUUCUGUCCAUUUGAGGCAUGGGGAGAGCCAAUAUGCCAGAACUCGUUGGGCACAGCUGAGAAGAGACGUCCGUACAGCUUUUGGGAAGAAGGAUGAAGUGUUUGGACCACACUCUUCUGAGGUCGAGGCCAAGAGUGCAGGGCUUUGGGUCCGCCUUCAAGGAGGUCAUAUGACAGAUGACUGGUGCUGUUCACUGGGCCUCCGUGGUGUUCCAGUGCCAUCUCAGCCCUGGAGAUGCUUUAUCUUUUCAUUCUCACCACCGCAGUGUGGCCUGGGUUGGUGGCCUUGCUUUAGAGAUUCGUUGACUUGCCCAAGGUCACAUGCUGGUAAGUGACAGUCAGAUUUAAACCUCAGUCUGACUCCAAAGCAGUUUCCCUCAUGCCCCAGCGCCUCUUGAGCGUCUGAAGAACAGUGCUGGAGGCAGUGUGGCAGCUCACAAGCCAUGUGGUACUUGAGUGCUCUGGAAGCAAGGGCAACAGAGAGCCAGGGCACCUGGGUCUGAGUCCUCGCUCUAUUGUUGACUGGAUACUUGAUCUCAGAAAAAUUCCUAAGGUCUCUGAGCUGACUCCUUGUCUAUAAAGAACAUGUCCUGUGUAUGGUGGCUUCUUAGAAGAUUUUUAAACCACCUUUCAUUUCUAACCUCUAUGAUACCCUGGAACCUUCAAGGAUCCUUACAUUCUUUUGUUCACUAAGUAAACUCCUACGUGAGGAAACACUUCGAUUUGGAAUUCAAGAACUGACUUAAUUUCUGCCAUAGAGAUAUUAUUCCUUCUCUGCAAAAUUCAUUUCCUCUGUGGGUUGCCCCAGCACUAUCUUCUGUUUCCUGAGGGGACCGACUCCACUGUGUGCUAAGUGUGGUGCUCUGCUCACCGUGAGCCAUAAGACAGGCCUGUAGGACAUGCUAGAAAUACAAGAUGGUAUUUCGUAACAUUGUCACUAAGAAUACUGCUAAAGUUGGCAAUAAAUAUUAUUUCCAGGGAGUUAAAGAACCAAAUAUCCACGUAGUUGCCUACUUUGGCUGCUUUGUUCUAUUUCUGUAAAUAAAUGAGGGUUUUAUUGAUUGUA